rnacentral:rRNA from 1 species
CCUACGGGGGGCUGCAGUGGGGAAUAUUGCACAAUGGGCGCAAGCCUGAUGCAGCCAUGCCGCGUGUGUGAAGAAGGCCUUCGGGUUGUAAAGCACUUUCAGCGGGGAGGAAGGCGUUAAGGUUAAUAACCUUGGCGAUUGACGUUACCCGCAGAAGAAGCACCGGCUAACUCCGUGCCAGCAGCCGCGGUAAUACGGAGGGUGCAAGCGUUAAUCGAAAUUACUGGGCGUAAAGCGCACGCAGGCGGUCUGUCAAGUCGGAUGUGAGAUCCCCGGGCUCAACCUGGGAACUGCAUUCGAAACUGGCAGGCUAGAGUCUUGUAGAGGGGGGUAGAAUUCCAGGUGUAGCGGUGAAAUGCGUAGAGAUCUGGAGGAAUACCGGUGGCGAAGGCGGCCCCCUGGACAAAGACUGACGCUCAGGUGCGAAAGCGUGGGGAGCAAACAGGAUUAGAUACCCGGGUAGUC